rnacentral:misc_RNA from 1 species
AAUGGUGAUUGGGUGGAGCAUGCUUUGCCGCAACAGUUUGUAAAUGAAUUUAAGGAUGGUCGCUUUGUAACUACUCCAGUCUCCCACUCUGGAGGUUAAUACUUACUGCGUUUCCAGUUUCUUAUUUUGUUUUCUAGGAUGGCUGACGGUUGGCUUCAACACAAUUUUUUUUUAUCUCCUUGGUUCAAUUUGCUGCUGAUACUCUUGGUUGUUCUCAUGUUUAUUCCUUGGGUAUAACCAACAUUUGGAAAUUUCUGCAUUACAUUUUUUUGAUGUUUGUUUCUAGGCCUGUCUCGUUGUGAGGGUUUUGUGAUUCUGAUUGUGUUGUAACGAGAAACGAAGUUUUGUAUUAUUUUUGUAGAUUUUUCUUACCUAAACUUGGUCUAACAUGGAUCCAAGAUGCAAUAUGUAUGAUGAAACCUAUGUUUAUAUUUUGGAUCUACAAUGGACCAAAUUUAGGUGGAAAUUUUUCAAUUUUUGACGCUCAAAAUAACCUUUAUUCCCAAGC